CCCUUUUUAAUAGAGAGAGAGAGAGAGAGAGAGAGCUGUCUUCUUUAUAUGUAAAUGUACCAUCAUAAAUCAUUCAAAAGCUAAGUGUAUGGGUUGACAUUGUUUGAUUGUGUUGGUAUAAUGUGAAAUCAGCAUUUUAAGGCAUGUUGCACAAAGUUGUUUACAGGAUGAUAGUGUGGACAUUAGAUUGUCCACAGGUCAUUACUUUUAUUGGUUAAAUAUUAGCCAUUCUAUCCACCUCUGAGGACAGUGUUCGCACGCAAAUGCACUGUUCGACCACUGGGGUCAUUUACAUAAUGACAUCAUUUUCCCAUUCAGUGAUUCUCUGGUGGGGUGAUUGGGCACUGUAACAACAAUGGGUUUCUAACUGUGAAGUAAAACAUCACGAUAUGUACUAUUAUUAUUAUAUUGUUUAUUAUUACAAGUAAUUUUGGAUUUUAAUCAUUACCCUAAGAUAAGUGAACAUCCCCUACUACAGUGGUUCUCGAACCUCUGCUCUGGGACACCCAGAUAUCUCACAACUUGAUUCACUUAUCAAGGGCUUUAUUAUUAGUUGACUGUUCAGCUGUUCUGUCUGGAAUAGUUCAAAUACAUUGAAUGGCUGCGGACCCCAAAGGAGCAGUUUUGCUCUUAUUUUUCUCAACUGAGAAAAAGGCUACCAGAUGCCCCAGUGAGACCAAUGGGAUAUCUAAUGAAAAUGAAGAACCGUGAACAGACCCCUUUUCUAGACAACUUCCAGGGACUAAACUGGUACUAAACUAUGCUUUCUUAACAUUCUGUAUCUUCAUGCAGAUAUAAACUCGACUAAAAUGUACAAAUAUAUUUAUGUAUAAAGUUGAUUUAGGCUUUGCCUACAGGUACAUGUCUUAUAUCGCCACAGGGUGGCGCAAAUUCAUGAGCACAGACAAAGAGACUAAAAACUUUGCAUUGUGAAAAACGUGUCUCAUUCCCUUUUUAUUUUCAUAUCUGGUUUUAGACGAGACAUAAGGAAUACACAUCGCAUUUGAUAAAUACUGUGCAUUAUAAUUUGUAUUGCAUACAUUUAUUUCUUAAAGGACUAGAAACUUUAACUUUACAUUAAAAAAACUCAAUUUCCGGUGUGCAGUCACAGUCCUUGUUUCCGUGAGCUGAAAUUUUGAAAACUACUGCGAAAAGCUGACAGGAGUUCUGGGUCUAGGAACAUCCGAAAAUUGCUAAGGUAACGUUGGCUAACAAAAUUCACCAUAUUUUUUUUUACAAUUAUAGCUAAAAUAAUUGUUAUAUGAAUCGCGUCGGCCACGUUUGUUCAUGAGUUGAGAGGUGGUUUGUUUUAAGCUAGCUGGGUUUGCUUAACCAUGAGUUCAUAUAUUUCAGUGUAAAGCUACAACAAUCUGGGAUUAGCUGUUUUAUCAGAAAAAUUGAACCCCCGACACUUGAUUUAUGGAUGUGGCAGCUGGGAAAAAUAUGGCCUAAACUAGCCCAGUAUUGGACCAAAGGAGACUAACGUUACACCGAGGACCUUACAUGUUCUGAUUUACAAGGGCGAAUUGGCUCUGGAAGCCAAAACAAAUGACAUUACUCCAUGUAAACAGGAAGCAAUUCUCAAUUGCGGUGUUCAGAGACGCAGACCAGGUAGUUCACUCGGUCUUCCAUCUGUUUUCCGUUAACAGGAGCUGCGACAUGGAAAUAUGGCGGUGUGGGGACCCUAACCCUAUAAGAAUGGUCCACCACCCGAAGGAGAUCCAGCCAACUUA